rnacentral:rRNA from 4 species
UUCAGGGGUAAACCUGAGAAACCCGAAAGGUCGAAAGGGGAGAUUCAGCGUGUCUCGAUCGUAGCGCUGGACGGUCGUGCGACGGACGGCGUACGCGUCGUCCGCGCCUUUCGUUCUCCGAACUGCGGUCGAACGCGUGCACUUCUCCUCCUGUAGGACGUCGCGAUUCGUUGGGUGCCGGUCUAAGGCCCGAGGUGGAGUCCGUCGGAACGUUUCGGCGUUUCUGGCGAACCCUCGGUGUUUCCCGGUCGGCUCGCUCGACGAUAUACAGAUGGCGCGGGGCCGCUAUUCAGUUAGCGUUCGACCUUCGGCAAGCGCGUCCGUCGUGACGGUGAUCGGACCUGGUGCCGGUCCCGUUCCCGGACGGCUGUUCGCUGAGGUGUUCUCGAACAGACCUCGUUGAAACGCCGAUCUGCGACGCUAUAGCUUUGGGUACUUUCAGGACCCGUCUUG